CACGUAGGGCGCAAGCGUUGUCCGGAAUUAUUGGGCGUAAAGAGCUCGUAGGCGGUUUGUCGCGUCGACUGUGAAAACCUGGGGCUUAACUCUGGGCCUGCAGUCGAUACGGGCAGACUAGAGUUCGGUAGGGGAGACUGGAAUUCCUGGUGUAGCGGUGAAAUGCGUAGAUAUCUGGAGGAACACCGAUGGCGAAGGCGGCAUCCUGGACCAAUAUUGACGCUGAGGAGCGAAAGCCAGGGGAGCAAAGCGGG
rnacentral:rRNA from 1 species